AGAGUUUGAUCAUGGCUCAGAUUGAACGCUGGCGGCAGGCCUAACACAUGCAAGUCGAACGGUAACAGGAAGCAGCUUGCUGCUUCGCUGACGAGUGGCGGACGGGUGAGUAAUGUCUGGGAAACUGCCUGAUAGAGGGGGAUAACUACUGGAAACGGUAGCUAAUACCGCAUAAUCUCUCAGGAGCAAAGCAGGGGAACUUCGGUCCUUGCGCUAUCGGAUGAACCCAUAUGGGGUUAGCUAGUAGGUGGGGUAAUGGCUCACCUAGGCGACGAUCCCUAGCUGGUCUGAGAGGAUGACCAGCCACACUGGAACUGAGACACGGUCCAGACUCCUACGGGAGGCAGCAGUGGGGAAUAUUGCACAAUGGGCGCAAGCCUGAUGCAGCCAUGCCGCGUGUAUGAAGAAGGCCUUCGGGUUGUAAAGUACUUUCAGCGAGGAGGAAGGCGUUAAGGUUAAUAACCUUGGCGAUUGACGUUACUCGCAGAAGAAGCACCGGCUAACUCCGUGCCAGCCGCCGCGGUAAUAC
rnacentral:rRNA from 1 species